GCCAAAUCACGUUGAAAAACCGGUUCCCGUACGAUCACCGAAGAUAAGCAACAUUGAGUCUGGUUAGUAUCUAGGGUGGGUCACCGCUUGGGAAUACCAUGUACUGUAAG